UACGUAGGGUGCAAGCGUUAAUCGGAAUUACUGGGCGUAAAGCGUGCGCAGGCGGCUUUGCAAGACAGAUGUGAAAUCCCCGGGCUUAACCUGGGAACUGCAUUUGUGACUGCAUGGCUGGAGUGCGGCAGAGGGGGAUGGAAUUCCUGGUGUAGCGGUGAAAUGCGCAGAUAUCAGGAAGAACACCCGUGGCGAAGGCGGUUCUCUGGGACGGUACUGACGCUGAGACGCGAAAGCGUGGGGAGCGAACAGG
rnacentral:rRNA from 1 species